rnacentral:lncRNA from 1 species
AUGGCAGAGCUAGAGGAGAGAAGAUUGCUGGAAGGCAUUACAGGCUCAGGAGGACAGGGAGAGCCUGCAGGAGCCUGCAGGGAUGGAUUGAAGAAGAUUUCCCUUGGAGCUCGGUGGUUUUGUGGCUGUGCAGCUGAGGAAGCACAAAUGUGCCAUGGAUGUGCACUGGGAAGGGGCAGAGGAGCUGAGGGAAUGCGCCACGGGCAGGAGCCUUUGUGCCUCUGUGCUGAAUUCCAUCACUGACCCACCCAGUGCAGCACAGGAGCUCUGGCUGAGAUGGGAACUGAAGGAUGAAUUUUUCUUCUUCCACAACUCCACCACCUGAAUUCAGGUACCUUCAAAAAAUCCCACGUGUACAGACCCACCUAAGCCUGUCGUGUCUGCAGAAUGGAGCUGCUCUUCCAAAGGCCUUUGGCUCAGAAUUCCUGGAAUGGAAAUACUCACAAGGAAUUACAAGAGCUUUAGCACAGAAAUGUUAAAAAGGAAAAUGUGGGUCUGUCAUUCCAACAGCAAACUUCCCUAGAAGGAUGGAAUGGUUUCUCUUCUCUCAGUCUUUUUCCAAUUGGAUAAAAAAAUGUAGUGGCUGAAACAUCUUUGAACUUAUUAAAUAGUGAAAGUUUUUCCCUUUCUGAGGGAAGGAAAAGUAGCAGUGCUAGAACAGCACCUGGGUUGUGGGUCCUUUAAUUUGUAGCAAAUCCCUUAGUUCACAAAGGCAGGAUUUUCUUUAAAGCCUGCCACAAAUAAUUGUUAAAAAUUCAUGGCUAUUUUCCGGGGUUUUCAUCAUGGUUUUUGUCCAAGGUUUAAGCACAGGCAAGUCCACAGAAUGCCCUGGUGCACUUGUGUAUAGGGGUGACACAAGUUAAAUUACCAGGUUACUGGAAAUUGAUGUUUUUGGGUAACUACAGGGGACUUUAAUUGGAAACUAUGUUAAUCGUGUAGUAAUUUUCUUUACCUUGUCUGCAUUAGCUGCUGAAAACCAGGCAAUUAAUUCGUGUCAUCAGUGUUGCUGCUGCUGCCUUCAAACACGAAGCUGAGGAGCAUCAGU